rnacentral:rRNA from 1 species
GACGAACGCUGGCGGCGUGCCUAAUACAUGCAAGUUGAGCGCUGAAGGUUGGUACUUGUACCAACUGGAUGAGCAGCGCACGGGUGAGUAACGCGUGGGGAAUCUGCCUUUGAGCGGGGGACAACAUUUGGACACGAAUGCUAAUCCCGCAUAAAAACUUUAAACACAAGUUUUAAGGUUGAAAGAUGCAAUUGCAUCACUCAAAGAUGAUCCCGCGUUGUAUUAGCUAGUUGGUGAGGUAAAGGCUCACCAAGGCGAUGAUACAUAGCCGACCUGAGAGGGUGAUCGGCCACAGUGGGACUGAGACACGGCCCAAACUCCCACGGGAGGCAGCAGUAGGGAAUCUUCGGCAAUGGGCGAGAGUCUGACCGAGCAACGCCGCGUGAGUGAAGAAGGAUUUCGGAUCGUAAAACUCUGUCGGUAGAGAAGAACGUUGGUGAGAGUGGAAAGCUCAUCAAGUGACGGUAACUACCCAGAAAGGGACGGCUAACUACGUG